CAAUAGCGUAUAUUAAAGUUGUUGCAAGUUAAAAAGCUCGUAGUUGGAUUUCUGUUUGAGGUACGGCCGGUCCGCAUUAUGUGCGUGUAUCUGGUUCGGCCUUGGCAUCCUCCCAGGGGAACGUUCCUGCGCUUCACUGACGUGGGACGGUAUUCUGGACUUUUACUUUGAGGAAAUUAGAGUGUUCACGGCAGGCAGUCGCCUUGAAUAUAUUAGCAUGGAAUAAUAAUAUAGGACCUUGAUUCUAUUUUGUUGGUUUCUAGGAAUUUAGGUAAUGAUUAAUAGGGACAAUUGGGGGCAUUUGUAUUAACACGUCAGAGGUGGAAUUCUUGGAUUGUGUUACGACAAACUACUGCGAAAGCAUUUGCCAAGGAUGUUUUCAUUGAUCAAGAACGAAAGUAAGGGAUCGAAGACGAUCAGAUACCGU
rnacentral:rRNA from 1 species